rnacentral:lncRNA from 1 species
CUCUGCCGCCCGCUCCGCCGCCCGCGCAGCCCCGGCGGCUCCGGGCGCGACUUCGUCCGUCCCGCUGCGCUCGGAACGGGAGCCGCCGGGGCAGGGUUUGGGCAAAAUGCGCGUUUAUCAGUGAAUGAAUGGGGUAGUGCACAGCCAGAAAAUGCAGCCAGGCUUAGUUCUCAGGCCCGACAUUCAACUGCAGAGAUAAAGGUAAUGGUAAAAGCGGAUUUCACAAGAUGGGGUAGCUCAAUCUAUUGAGCAGGCUGAGCAGCAGCCUGGGGUUGAGUAAGUGGGUUAAAAUCUGAAACUUCUUCCCAUGAAACUGAAAUGACAAAAGACUGUUCCCAAGGCCAAAAGCUCUGCUGUGUGGCAGGUGACAGGUGACAGGACGGGUCCCUGCCAGGCAGCGGGGAGCAGCUGCAGUGCACAGCGCGGUGUGGUUGCAGCACACACGUUAGAGGGCUAUCUGAUGCAAUCAUGAGCUGCACAGAGAGGCACCCACUGCUCCUUCCCAAGGGGUAGCGGGAAAGUGGUCUGGAAGGCAGCUGGGGGAGAUUUUAGCCUGUAGCAUCUGUGUGGGGUGUUGGAAUAACACAAAGGAAGGUUCUUGCUGUGAGACCAGAAAAGACGGUGAGUUAAAAGAUAUUUCUGGCAUCUAAUUUUCAUUUCAAUGCAAAGAAAAGGAAAAAGAAGGAAGAAAAGCAAGGUUUUUAGAUGAGCCUGUCAUUACCAGGCAGUUCAGUGCUAUGCUGAAAUAACACAGCUAGUUUGAGGACUGUCCAUGGAUCACAGCAGUGCAUCACUGGACUGGAUCAUAGCAGAGUGAGGAUGCAGCAGUAAGUUCUACUGAUGACCCCUGGGAUCUC